AUUGAACGCUGGCGGCAUGCUUUACACAUGCAAGUCGAACGGUAACAGGCCUUCGGGUGCUGACGAGUGGCGAACGGGUGAGUAAUGCAUCGGAACGUACCCAGAGGUGGGGGAUAACGCAGCGAAAGCUGUGCUAAUACCGCAUGUGAUCUGAGGAUGAAAGCGGGGGACCAAGCAGCAAUGUUUGGCCUCGCGCCUUUGGAGCGGCCGAUGUCGGAUUAGCUAGUUGGUGGGGUGAAGGCCUACCAAGGCGACGAUCCGUAGCUGGUCUGAGAGGACGACCAGCCACACUGGGACUGAGACACGGCCCAGACUCCUACGGGAGGCAGCAGUGGGGAAUUUUGGACAAUGGGUGCAAGCCUGAUCCAGCAAUGCCGCGUGCGGGAAGAAGGCCUUCGGGUUGUAAACCGCUUUUGGCAGGAACGAAACGGUGUCCGCUAAUACCGGGCGCUAAUGACGGAACCUGCAGAAUAAGCACCGGCUAACUACGUG
rnacentral:rRNA from 1 species